GAGACAGCAGUCGCCGCGGUAAAACGAAGGGGGCUAGCGUUGUUCGGAUCUACUGGGCGUAAAGCGCACGUAGGCGGAUCGUUAAGUCGGGGGUGAAAUCCUGGAGCUCAACUCCAGAACUGCCUUCGAUACUGGCGAUCUUGAGUCCGGAAGAGGUGAGUGGAACUCCUAGUGUAGAGGUGGAAUUCGUAGAUAUUAGGAAGAACACCAGUGGCGAAGGCGGCUCACUGGUCCGGUACUGACGCUGAGGUGCGAAAGCGUGGGGAGCAAACAGGAUUAGAUACCCGUGUAGUCCCUGUCUCUUAUAC
rnacentral:rRNA from 1 species